GGGCUGUGACGGUGGCAGAUUUUUACCACCACGGUGAUAAUGGACCAACUACCGCCGGUGGUGCGGUGUUGAUGUGUAAUAGGCCUGGGC